UCACUUCUCUCAAGGGGAGGUUGCAGGAAGCUAGGAGCCUCGUCUCUAACUCCUACCAUUGCAUCCACAGAGCCAGAGCAUGGCCCCAACACAGACCUGCUUGGCACCUCACCCAAAGCCUCACUGGAACUGAAAAGCUCCAUCAUUGGCAAGAAGAAGCCAGCAGCAGCUAAGAAAGGGGUAGGUGGGGAGAGGGGUUAGCAGCUGGGUGCAGGCUACCUGGGUUUGCCCCUUGACCUUACCACUUACCGGCUAUAUGACUUUGGUAAAGGCACUGUGCUUCUCCGAAUUGAAGAUUGCUAUCUUCAAGGGCUGCUGGGAGGGGCCGGUGAGAUGGAGCACAUCUAGUGCUUAACGGAGUACUUGGCACAUACUUGGCCCUGUCAGCAUUAACUGCUGUCCUCAGGCUUGGGCUCUGCCGGGGCUGUGUGAGCCACCCACGCCCAGCUCCAGCAGAGGACUGUUCUCUUGGACAUGCUGGUUGGGCUUCUAUUUUUUACCCUAAACUUUAAGAAGGGCCUUUUCCUGUGGGUGUGGCUAGAGUGCCUGAGCCUGGGAGGGAUUGGAGGAUAGCGAGAUUGGCAAAGUACCUUACCUUAUUAUCUUCCCAGCUGGGUGCCAAGAAAGGCCUAGGGGCCCAGAAGGUGAGCAGCCAGAGCUUCAACGAGAUUGAACGGCAGGCCCAGGUAGCAGAGAAGCUCCGAGAGCAGCAGGCAGCCGAUGCCAAGAAGCAGGCGGAGGAGUCCAUGUGAGUGUUUGCUGCCGGAGCCUCAGGCUCAUGUGGGGCUUGGGGGUGGGUAGGUUGGGCAGGUCAGGAUGGGUGGUGGCCGCUGACACCUUUGUUCUCUCUAAGGGUCGCCUCCAUGCAUCUGGCCUAUCAGGAGCUCCAGAUUGAUCGUAAGAAAGAGGAAAAGAAGCUACAGAAUCUGGAAGGGAAGAAGCGAGAGCAGGCAGAGAGGCUGGGCAUGGGCUUGGUAUCUCGAAGCUCUGUCUCCCACUCCGUGCUGUCUGAGAUGCAGGUGAUCGAGCAGGAAACCCCAGUGAGUGCAAAAUCUUCUCUCUCGCAGCUGGACUUGUUUGAUGAUGUUGGUACUUUCGCCUCUGGACCCCCCAAGUACAAGGACAACUCCUUUUCCUUAGGAGAAAGCUUUGGUUCCCGCUGGGAUACAGAUGCUGCCUGGGGUAUGGACAGGGUAGAGAAGGAGCCAGAAGUGACCAUCUCAAGCAUCCGGCCUAUUUCAGAACGGGCCACAAACCGGAGGGAGGUGGAGAGCCGGAGCACAGGCCUUGAGUCUAGUGAGGCACGUCAGAAAUUCGCAGGAGCCAAAGCCAUCUCAUCUGACAUGUUCUUUGGGCGGGAGGUGGAUGCGGAGGUAAACGGGGUUGUCUGCCCUGGGGCUGAGGCAGCGGGCAGAAGCAUGAGCUUUCUCCCUGCCUCUGCUUU
rnacentral:lncRNA from 1 species